CAGGUCAGACCCCAGCGGGACCAGAGACCCACUGAUGGAUGAUCCAGAAUCUGGGUCCUGCAGUCAGUGCCAAAUCCAGACCAAAGUGUCGUCCACAUGACUACACUGAGUCCUUCAAGAGGGCUGCCCGACUGGUGCGCUCCUAAGAUGCUUUCCUGUGUAGUGACUAUAGUGUUCGGGGUGGAGGCACACACGGGUUGGGGGAGAUGUUGUCUGGCAGGAUGUCCCCUCCCUUUCGACAAGAGGAUGCCCAGCAGGGAGGACGGAUGGGACUCAAUGGUUUUCCUUCCUCCGUUUCUGGCAGGUGAUGCUGUGAAUGGAACCUAUAUCAUCUCUCUGCCUCACAUUAACACCAAGCAAUACCCUGCUAUACCCAGCUCCAUUCACAGCACAAGGUUUUUUUUUUUUGUUUUGUUUUGUUUUGUUUUGCUUUUUUGUUUUUUGGUUUGUUUGUUUGUUUGUUUGUUUUUGACAAAGUCUUAUUUUGUAGCCCAGUGUGGCCUCAAACUCACAGCAAUUCUUCUGCCUCAGUCUCCCUGGUGCUGAGAUUGCAGGCAUAAACCAUCAUGCCCUGCACACAGAGUUCUUUUGGAAACAUGCCCAGAAAAAUAGAAAAAUAAAAUCUGAAAGAUUGGACUAAAGAAGCUCAUCCCACUACCCUCCCUUGGACUUUCCCAGGGCCACCUGGAAGACACCCAAGGCUUCAGGAUGGGCUUGGGAAGCUGGGAAACACCUUUCAGAAAUGGAAUGUCUCAGACAGCUGUUAUGACAAGAGUUCCUCACCCAGCCAGCAGCCACUUCGGCUUAGGAGUUGCUCUUUCCCGUCACCUCCCCACCCCCCACCAGGCCCAGCUGUUGUUUUGAUGACUUUGGGGCCAGGCAGAUCCAACCCUCAGCCAAGGGCUUCCCAAGAGAUUCUUCAUCUUCAACCUCUGGGGGUGGCCAGACUAGCUCCUGGCAGAAGGAGAAGGAAGGCGGCCUCAUUCCGGAGGAAGCACUCCUGGGCAGCUUGGUGGCCAGCUGACCCCAUCACUCUGUCUGAUCAGGAAAGGAAUCAAAGCUGGAUACAGAUGAAGGUUGGAAAACCCGAAAAAACAAUAGACCUGAGCCAGCCACAGACUGGGCUGCACUUUAGUCCACAGAAUUAGCUUGAUCCUGAUCAUAGGCUGAGCUCUGACCCUGCUGGUUACAGUCUGAGCCACACUGGGAAAAUAGUGUGCUGGAUCCUUUCAAAGAUAUUUAGAUCUUGGCUUGGUGGCAUAUUCCUGUAAUCCCAGUACAUGGGAAGCUAAGGCAGGAGGAUCAUGAGUUCUAGACCAGCCUGGUAAAUUAUAAUGAGCAUACUUUUAAUAUAUUGCUGGGCUUACAAGUACUCUCCCCCGCCCCCAAAUUAAAUAUUACAAAAACCCAAAUCAACAGACCAGGGAGAUGGCUAAGGGGUUAAAGUACUUGCUACCAACUUUGACAACCUGAGUUUCUUCCUUGGGACCCCCA
rnacentral:lncRNA from 1 species